rnacentral:rRNA from 1 species
GGUUUAAUUCGAUGAUACGCGAGGAACCUUACCCGGGCUUGAAUUGCAGAGGAAGGAUUUGGAGACAAUGACGCCCUUCGGGGCCUCUGUGAAGGUGCUGCAUGGUUGUCGUCAGCUCGUGCCGUGAGGUGUCGGCUUAAGUGCCAUAACGAGCGCAACCCCUCUCCUUAGUUGCCAUCAGGUUAAGCUGGGCACUCUGGGGACACUGCCACCGUAAGGUGUGA